rnacentral:tRNA from 1 species
AAGAUUUUAAGUUAAAUUAAACUAAUAACCUUCAAAGUUAGAAAUAAAACUAUUUUUUAAAUCUUA